GAAGAAAAAAUCCCAAGAAACCUAAAGCUUUGGCACUUCAACCUGUUGGGUAGGUUCCAUAUCCAAAAUAAAACUGAGUUUUUUUUAUCAAACUCACCCAUAAGACCACUGCAAAUUCCUUUUCGAUUCUCAUGAUUUAUGAAGAGACAAUUACAUUUUGCAAUAGUAAGGAUCAUUCCAGUAACACCUACCCAACUGGCCACAUUAAUGAAGUGCUGAAUUGCAGAAUUCAACUUAAGUUCAUGAAAGACCAGCUACAUAGGACUAGCGAGCCACUACUCGUGCUCCACUCUAGAUACUCCAAAGAAACAUACCAACCUAAUACUGCAGUGAUGAAGCUGCUUCAUGCUAAUCCACAUUGUUCAAUUGCUUUUUCUUUCUCAAAGGUCUCAAAGUACUGAUAAAUGAUGGUGACGGUGAGAAGAAUCCCGGUCCAAAGGCAGACUUCAUAGACAUUUUUCAACUUGCAAUAAUUCCGGCAAAUUUCAGUUUUCUUGCAUCUAGCAUAUGCACCUGUUUUGUAUACAAAGUAACGAGCGAUUGAAUCAAAAUUGGUAAAACAGAGCACACCAGUGACAAUUACCCAUGCCCUUAUCGCCAACAAUGACAAGCUUGAAGCCCGGGUGAUUGAACAUCUGCUGAUUCGGCAAAGCUUGAAAGAGACGCAAGGGAAACAACAACAAUUAAAACAACAAACCAAAUGAGAUAAAAAAAAAUCCAAACUUUGCGAUCACGUAACCAGAUCGCUCAGCUCCAGAACCCCAAAAGAAACAGCAUCUGACACGAGCUAUUGAUAUAAGAAUGGAUGCGCAAAAAAUGGAAUGAUGAAAAGGAAAGAAUGGACCAUCAGCGAGCGAAACUUACUGAGAAUGGACCGAUUCUAAUACCAAAACCAAUGAACCCGAAGAAAAUUCAAUCACUCAAGAUAAACAGAGACCCAAGCAGCAUCACCGACACCGUUGGUCCAACCGAAGUCUCCCACAGGAAUACAAGGCAAGAAGCCAAUUUCCACUUAAAACCCACCACAUUAUCCGCAAAAAACGAAAGCCACAUUCCAAUUUAAACGAACAACAAGUGCCCAAAACACCCAUCCUUUGCCACAAGAGAAAAAAGGAGGGGGGCAAAAAACGCAUUUACCACGUCGUGUCGGUCGGGGACUUCCAGACGGCGAGGCGGGUCCAGGCGACGACCUUCCCGGAGGGCAAGUCCCUGGCCUCGACGAGAGUCGAGACGAUCCCGAUUAGCUGGACGGAGUUAGUGAGCUCCUUCCUCCACUGGAUCUCCUGGGGCCUCGGGUACGCGGCUACCUGGAGGGAGCACCUCUACCGGGCAUUGCGGGUCGGCGCGAAUGAGAGGAGGCGCGAGUUCGGAGAAGACCCGGAAGGGAUUUGGGAAGGGGAAGGGGAGGGGUUUUCGGCGACGGACGACGACGAUCGACUGAUUCGGCAGCGGCUAGGGUUCCGGCGUUGAGACGAGGGGUGGCAACGACGACGGAGAGGCGGAGGCGCGUCGAUCGAAGGGCAGCAAUGGAAUCCACGAGAAGGCGCAGUAGUCGGAGAAGCAGCCGAAGGGGAGGGUUUUCACUUUUCAGCAACGUGUUUGAGUGUUUGUGUUUGGUUGGCUUGUUUGGAACAGGUGUUAACGUG
rnacentral:lncRNA from 1 species